UACGUAGGGUGCAAGCGUUAAUCGGAAUUACUGGGCGUAAAGCGUGCGCAGGCGGUUUUGUAAGUCUGUCGUGAAAUCCCCGGGCUCAACCUGGGAAUUGCGAUGGAGACUGCAAGGCUAGAAUCUGGCAGAGGGGGGGUAGAAUUCCACGUGUAGCAGUGAAAUGCGUAGAGAUGUGGAGGAACACCGAUGGCGAAGGCAGCCCCCUGGGUCAAGAUUGACGCUCAUGCACGAAAGCGUGGGGAGCAAACAGG
rnacentral:rRNA from 1 species